rnacentral:rRNA from 1 species
CAGCCGCCACGGUAAUACGAAGGGGGCUAGCGUUGUUCGGAAUUACUGGGCGUAAAGCGCACGUAGGCGGAUAUUUAAGUCAGGGGUGAAAUCCCAGAGCUCAACUCUGGAACUGCCUUUGAUACUGGGUAUCUUGAGUAUGGAAGAGGUGAGUGGAAUUCCGAGUGUAGAGGUGAAAUUCGUAGAUAUUCGGAGGAACACCAGUGGCGAAGGCGGCUCACUGGUCCAUUACUGACGCUGAGGUGCGAAAGCGUGGGGAGCAAACAGGAUUAGAUACCCCAGUAGUCCCUGUCUCUUAUAU